rnacentral:rRNA from 1 species
CCUACGGGUGGCAGCAGUGGGGAAUAUUGGACAAUGGGCGAAAGCCUGAUCCAGCCAUGCCGCGUGUGUGAAGAAGGCCUUCGGGUUGUAAAGCACUUUCAGUGGGGAAGAAAGCCUUGGGGCUAAUACCCUCGAGGAAGGACAUCACCCACAGAAGAAGCACCGGCUAACUCCGUGCCAGCAGCCGCGGUAAUACGGAGGGUGCGAGCGUUAAUCGGAAUUACUGGGCGUAAAGCGCGCGUAGGCGGUCUGAUAAGCCGGUUGUGAAAGCCCCGGGCUCAACCUGGGAACGGCAUCCGGAACUGUCAGGAUGGAGUGCAGAAGAGGAGGGUGGAAUGCCAGGUGUAGCGGUGAAAUGCGUAGAUAUCGGGAGGAAUACCAGUGGCGAAGGCGGCCUUAUGGACUGUAACUGACGCUGAGGCUCGAAAGCGUGGGUAGCAAACAGGAUUAGAGACACGGGUAGUC